CCUGGCAGCAUUCAUUUUCUACAUAUAUUUUGACCUGGGCAUAAAUGUCGCAGUGACGAAGGCGGCAGUCAUUGUCUGAUACUUGCACCCUUAUGGAAUAUGUUGUAUUCUAUUUCAGGUUCUUCAUGCAAGAAGGUUCUCCACGCAAUACAUGAAACCCUACUCGCCUUAGAUGCCAGAUUUAUUGCUGGUAUAAAACAAGAAGAACCAGAAACGAAGGGCAGUGAGGAUGUUGCAUAUUGCAAUAGUUUGCAAAGCUGGUGCACGAAACGGUUUUGAGUGUUGGAGGUGCCUAUCCGAGACCGAAUCAGUGCAAUGCCGAACCAAAUGUAAGAUACCACUUACUCAUCCCAUGCACAUCUUGUCCCCUACAGGAUUUCAAACCAAGGCCUUCCAACAUGAUAGAGAAAUGUUGAUUAUGCUGAAAGAACUACAAAAGAAGCACAACCGUGGCAUGGUAACUGUGCAUUUACCUGAAAACUGUCCCCAUUUGCCAGCCACGACCUUCUCAGAGCUUCAAGAAUUGGACACUUUACUCGAAGAACCUGACAACAUGGCGAAAACGGUACAGUUCUUCUCUAUGAAAGGGGGAUCCGACUAUAAGGACGCCAUCCG